GAUGAACGCUGGCGGCGUGCCUAAUACAUGCAAGUCGAGCGAAUGGAUUAAGAGCUUGCUCUUAUGAAGUUAGCGGCGGACGGGUGAGUAACACGUGGGUAACCUGCCCAUAAGACUGGGAUAACUCCGGGAAACCGGGGCUAAUACCGGAUAAUAUUUUGAACUGCAUGGUUCAAAAUUGAAAGGCGGCUUCGGCUGUCACUUAUGGAUGGACCCGCGUCGCAUUAGCUAGUUGGUGAGGUAACGGCUCACCAAGGCAACGAUGCGUAGCCGACCUGGGAGGGUGAUCGGCCAUACUGGGACUGAGACACGGCCCAGACUCCUACGGGAGGCAGCAGUAGGGAAUCUUCCGCAAUGGACGAAAGUCUGACGGAGCAACGCCGCGUGGGUGAUGAAGGCUUUCGGGUCGUAAAACUCUGUUGUUAGGGAAGAACAAGUGCUAGUUGAAUAAGCUGGCACCUUGACGGUACCUAACCAGAAAGCCACGGCUAACUACGUGCCAGCCGCCGCAGUAA
rnacentral:rRNA from 1 species